UACGGAGGGUGCGAGCGUUGUCCGGAAUCAUUGGGCGUAAAGGGCGCGUAGGUGGCCCGGUCAGCGUGCGGUGAAAGCUCGGGGCUCAACUCCGAGUCGGCCGUGCGAACUGGGCUCACUGGAGCAUAGUAGAGGCAGGUGGAAUUCCGGGUGUAGCGGUGGAAUGCGUAGAGAUCCGGAAGAACACCGGUGGCGAAGGCGGCCUGCUGGGCUAUGGCUGACACUGAGGCGCGACAGCGUGGGGAGCAAACAGG
rnacentral:rRNA from 1 species